rnacentral:rRNA from 1 species
AUUGAACGCUGGCGGCAUGCCUUACACAUGCAAGUCGAACGGUAACAGGUCUUCGGAUGCUGACGAGUGGCGAACGGGUGAGUAAUACAUCGGAACGUGCCUAGUAGUGGGGGAUAACUACUCGAAAGAGUGGCUAAUACCGCAUGAGAUCUACGGAUGAAAGCAGGGGAUCGCAAGACCUUGUGCUACUAGAGCGGCCGAUGGCAGAUUAGGUAGUUGGUGGGAUAAAAGCUUACCAAGCCGACGAUCUGUAGCUGGUCUGAGAGGACGAUCAGCCACACUGGAACUGGGACACGGCCCAGACUCCUACGGGAGGCAGCAGUGGGGAAUUUGGGACAAUGGGCGAAAGCCUGAUCCAGCAAUGCCGCGUGCAGGAUGAAGGCCUUCGGGUUGUAAACUGCUUUUGUACGGAACGAAAAGCCCCGGGUUAAUACCCUGGGGUCAUGACGGUACCGUAAGAAUAAGCACCGGCUAACUACGUGCCAGCCGCCGCCGUAA